rnacentral:rRNA from 1 species
GACGAACCGUGCGAACGUUAUUCGGAAUCACUGGGCUUAAAGCGCGUGUAGGCGGCCCGGCACGUCCGACGCUGAAAUCCCCCGGCUCAACCGGGGAAGGGGCGCGGAUACGACCGGGCUGGAGGGGGGUAGGGGAAUCGGGAACUUCCGGUGGAGCGGUGAAAUGCGUUGAGAUCGGAAGGAACGCCCGCGGCGAAAGCGCGGUUCUGGACCCCACCUGACGCUGAGACGCGAAAGCCAGGGGAGCGAACGGG